GAGCUCCUACGGGGGGCAGCAGUGGGGGAUAUUGCACAAUGGGGGGAACCCUGAUGCAGCGACGCCGCGUGGGUGAAGGAGCGUUUCGGCGCGUAAAGCCCUAUCGGCAGGGAAGAAGAUGACGGUACCUGACCAAGAAGCCCCGGCUAACUACGUGCCAGCAGCCGCGGUAAUACGUAGGGGGCAAGCGUUAUCCGGAUUUACUGGGGGUAAAGGGGGCGCAGACGGCAAUGCAAGCCAGGAGUGAAAGCCCGGGGCCCCACCCCGGGCCUGCUCUUGGAACUGCAUGGCUGGAGAACAGGGGG
rnacentral:rRNA from 1 species